rnacentral:rRNA from 1 species
GUGGAGCAUGUGGCUUAAUUUGACUCAACGCGGGGAAUCUUACUAGGUCCGGACCGAUUCUAUGAUCGUCGUACUGUGGGGUGCUACGUGAUUACUGGAUGAGUGGUGCAUGGCCGUUCUUAGUUCGUGGUGUCAGUUGUCUACUUAAUUGUCAUUGGUUCUCGUAUCUUACGGUACAGAACUGAUAACGAACGAGAUCGAGGCCCGUGGUUGUGUCGUAGGUUAUUAUUGUGUGCGGCAUUAACCACGGGGAUCGCGUAAUACUCCACGGUACGAUCGAAAGACUCGGCAAUAACAGGUCUGUGAUGCCCUCAGAUGUUCUAGGCUGCACACGUGCUACAUUGUGGUUUCGUUUGUAUGCGUAGAUAUCUAAGAUCCCCCGCAUCGAGUCAUAAUCGGUCACUCGGUUGGACUCACCGAUUGUAUAAUUAUUCGGUAUACUAA